UCCCUUGCGGCGUGCUUACACAUGCAAGUCGAACGAUGAAGCCGGAGCUUGCUCUGGUGGAUUAGUGGCGAACGGGUGAGUAACACGUGAGCAACCUGCCCUGGACUCUGGGAUAAGCGCUGGAAACGGCGUCUAAUACUGGAUACGAGACGUGGCCGCAUGGUCAACGUUUGGAAAGAUUUUUCGGUCUGGGAUGGGCUCGCGGCCUAUCAGCUUGUUGGUGAGGUAAUGGCUCACCAAGGCGUCGACGGGUAGCCGGCCUGAGAGGGUGACCGGCCACACUGGGACUGAGACACGGCCCAGACUCCUACGGGAGGCAGCAGUGGGGAAUAUUGCACAAUGGGCGGAAGCCUGAUGCAGCAACGCCGCGUGAGGGAUGACGGCCUUCGGGUUGUAAACCUCUUUUAGCAGGGAAGAAGCGAAAGUGACGGUACCUGCAGAAAAAGCGCCGGCUAACUACGUGCCAGCAGCCGCGGUAAUACGUAGGGCGCAAGCGUUAUCCGGAAUUAUUGGGCGUAAAGAGCUCGUAGGCGGUUUGUCGCGUCUGCUGUGAAAUCCCGAGGCUCAACCUCGGGCCUGCAGUGGGUACGGGCAGACUAGAGUGCGGUAGGGGAGAUUGGAAUUCCUGGUGUAGCGGUGGAAUGCGCAGAUAUCAGGAGGAACACCGAUGGCGAAGGCAGAUCUCUGGGCCGUAACUGACGCUGAGGAGCGAAAGGGUGGGGAGCAAACAGGCUUAGAUACCCUGGUAGUCCACCCCGUAAACGUUGGGAACUAGUUGUGGGGUCCUUUCCACGGAUUCCGUGACGCAGCUAACGCAUUAAGUUCCCCGCCUGGGGAGUACGGCCGCAAGGCUAAAACUCAAAGGAAUUGACGGGGACCCGCACAAGCGGCGGAGCAUGCGGAUUAAUUCGAUGCAACGCGAAGAACCUUACCAAGGCUUGACAUACACGAGAACGGGCCAGAAAUGGUCAACUCUUUGGACACUCGUGAACAGGUGGUG
rnacentral:rRNA from 1 species